CUUUUUCUAAGGAUAAUGUGUGAAAGAUGCAAAUGCACAAGUGUGAAAGAGAGACCAGACUCCAAGGUAUUCACGACUGUUGAUCUUAGCACUACCAGCAUCUUUUUGUCACAGAUGUCAUCACAGAGGUGAAGUGAGUAGUAACUGUGACUCAGGAUGGCAGCGUGGGCUCUGGCAUGACAGGGAAGCGAUUUCUCACUCUCUGCCUGUUCCCUGAGCCAUCAGCCCCCAACAGCUUGUUCACAGACUGCUGCGCUGCCAGCAGGAUUAAAUUCUUAGCUGGGAGGAGCCAGUUACAGCCUCUGAAGAGCAGCACAGGAACCAUAAAGCAGAGGAUGAUAGCUGAGGGCCAGAUAAAGCUGUGCUGCUCUGAAACACACAAAGCUCUAAUUUUCAAAGCUUUUGUGUGCCCUUAA
rnacentral:lncRNA from 12 species